rnacentral:rRNA from 1 species
GAUCUACGCUGGCGGCGUGCCUAAUACAUGCAAGUCGAGCGAACAGAUGAGUAGCUUGCUCCUCUGACGUUAGCGGCGGACGGGUGAGUAACACGUGGCUAACCUACCUUUUAGACUGGGAUAACUUCGUGACACCUGCGCUACUACCGGAUAAUAUCUUGUACCGCUUGGUUCACUCGUGAAAGCCCGUUUUGCUGUUACUUAUAGAUGGAUCCGCGCCGCAUUAGCUAGUUGGUAAGGUUACGGCUUCCCAAGGCAACGAUGCGUAGCCGACCUGAGAGGGUGAUCGGCCACGCGGAAACUGAGACACGGUCCAGACUCCUACGGGAGGCAGCAGUAGGGAAUCUGCCGCAAUGGGCGAAAGCCUGACGGAGCAACGCCGCGUGAGUGAUGAAGGUCUGCGGAUCGUAAAACUCUGUUAUUAGGGAAGAACAAAUGUGUAAGUAACUAUGCACGUCAGGACGGUACCUAAUCAGAAGGCCACGGCUAACUACGUG